AUCUCUGAUAUGUAGUCUUUUAGGCCACUGCUUGGGGAUCUCUGGGAGUUGUAGUCUUUAUACUGAUUUACCCUUUGUGUGUAGAACCGGGAGAUGCAUGAUCAGAUGGACUACUUCAUGGGAGGUCAAAGGUCAAACUCAUACCUCUCAGACCGCAAUGCCCAGAUUGUUUACAGCAAACCACUCAAGCCCUCCACCUCAUCCAGUAAACCGCUUCCGUUCAUCAAAGUCAUCGAGAUAAAGUCCUGAGCUGGAUCAAGUAAACCAGUGAGGAAGAGAGAGUGAGGCUUAGAAAGAGACAGAGAGAUGAGGAGGUAGGAACUAGAAAAUGCUCACCGCCCAACCUGCAAAGCAACAGCAACAGUGGACUGUAACCAUAACCAGACCACACCAGCAUACCACAAUCACCACCGCAAUCCACGUCUGUAGAUACUGGGCCACAACAUGGACAGGAUCUCACCCUGAACCUACAUGUACACACCCCUCGAUUUGGGGGGACAUUAUGCAACGUGUGGGUGCUUUUUGAGAAGCACUGCCAUGAAACACAUACAGCAGGAUGUCAGGUGACAGGAAGUUAGAAGAGGGGUCUGGAAAUGGAUCUGUGUCGAAGGGGAUGUUGAGAGUGACAGUUUGUUCUGUCUAUUCUAGGACAGUUGGAAACCAGGCAAAAAAAAGAUAGAAUUUCACAUAUAAAUGUAUUGUGUCUGUAACCCAAUGACCCAGGUAGUUCCUGCUCCUCUCCACUUACAAACAUUAUGAUUUGACCCCUGAAAUGUAAAGGUGAUACUGUAUCACAGUCGUUUGCGCCACUGUAAAUACAUAUCUGUGACCUUCAACCCUCUGUGUGUUGUGUGAACAGUCUGAGUGAAGGUCUAUAUUCUUAUUUCUGAACUUGUAGCACAUGGACUGCUUGUGAUGUCACACACUAACUAGAUAAAGUGACAUCAGUACUAAUGAGAACGUGCGUGCCGCUCAGCUAAAGUAAAUGAAGGUGAGAAUGGUGGUCGUGAUGAUGAAGUUUGACAAACAUGUUCCUCCUCACCUGUUGCACACAGUCGUGUCACAGUGAGAAUGUGUUUCUGUUUAUGGAAGUGUCAUCCACCAUCCAUGGAUUUUUUUUAACAUAUUUGUUAUAUAUUAAUAUCAUGUUAAUAUUCUGUUUAAUGCUUUUCCUUACGUUUCGCCGAACAUUUCAUGGCAUUCUUCUGUUCUAUUUAUGUGGACAUGAUUAGAGAAAUAUCAUGGAAGUUAGUGUGUUUGUGUUAUUAAUUUCUUUACAAGCUAUGUGUGUUUUGAUUAUUUAAAUAAAUUGAUUAAAAUUA